CCGUCUUGAAACACGGACCAAGGAGUCUAGCAUGUGCGCGAGUCAUUGGGAUUUUUUUACACUAAACCCAGAGGCGCAAUGAAAGUGAAAGGCGCGGCCUCGGUCGCGCCGGAGGGAAGAUGCGCGGACCGUUUCCGCGGUCCCGCCGCAUUCCCGAGGCGUUUCGAAAAAGCCACCGUUGUUAUUAUCGAGACGCACUGAGAGCGUACACGCUGGGACCCGAAAGAUGGUGAACUAUGCCUGGUCAGGUCGAAGUCAGGGGAAACCCUGAUGGAGGACCGAAGCGAUUCUGACGUGCAAAUCGAUCGUCGGAACUGGGUAUAGGGGCGAAAGACUAAUCGAACUAUCUAAUA
rnacentral:rRNA from 1 species